CAGACAUCCCUCCCCUCCAGAACAAGGUUGAAGGAAAAAAAAAAAGAGAAAGACAAAUUCCUUUACUGUUACUUCUUUCCCUGGCUUCUUAAGCAUGAUUAUGUUUUACAAAUGUCUGUAUUUAGCCAGUUCUUGAUUUUCUUUUGACACAGCUCCAAGGCCACCAGCUAUGCAAGGCCACAAGUUAUGCACUAUAUGAUUAACUGCUUUUGUUUUACUUUUGGGGCUGGAGCCCUGGGCCAAGGGAGACCUGUGACCCCAGGUGCCGCCGGGAGAACUUCAGCCCAGAGGGGAAAUCAGCUCUCCGUGACCCAGCACCCCUACCCAGCAGCGCAACAGAUCCUGAGAGGAGCUACAGGAUGAUUCUAGAAACAGCGCACUUCAGGAAUCAUGUUGCAGGUGUUGUGCAUUGGAUCCACCACAGUCGGCUGAAACUGACAACUCAAGACAAGUGGACCAGCCAGCAGGACCCAGAUCAUCCAACUCGGCUGAUCCUGAGACGGGACCAAACUGCUGCCGAAGACGACCGCCCUGUUCUGGUCACUCCGGAGGCUAACCAGCCUACGCAUGGCUGAAGUUUGAGGAAACAACAAGCCCUGCUCUAGUCACACACUGAAAGCUGACUAGUCUAUGCACGGCCAAAGCUUGAGGACUCAUCAAGCAAGUAAAUGUAGUUAGAAAUCUUAGAACUAGUAGUUUUCCUUGUAAUAUUAACUGUUUUACUAUUGUUCUGUCACUGUGCUCAACCUCCUCUCCCAAAUAAGGACCUCUUCUGUCCUUACUAGAUAUGAAUAUACUGUACAUUGUUUUACUGUUGUUACCCCACUUAACCAUGCUAGAAGAAACACCCAUAGAAGGGUGUCCCCAUCGUACACAUACUACAUGGUCAGAAAACAGUAUAACCAGGACUCUAUUAUACCAUACUUAUUAUGAGUAUACAGGGACUCACCUAGGAACUUGUACUUACAAUCAGAUCACCUAUUCAAUUUAUGACCCAGGAAAUGGCCAGCUACCUAGGUGGAAGAUAGGUCAUGGAGUUACCGUACUCCUACUUACGUGCUUAAGCGCAUCAUAAGGUUACAGGCAGGGCUUGAGAUCAUCACUAAUAAACAUCAAAUGCAUUAGAUUUACUGACCCAGCAAGCUACAAAAAAUGAGGAAUGCUAUCUAUCAGAACAGAUUAGCUUUAGACUAUCUCCUAGCCCAGGAAGGAGGAGUAUGUGGAAAAUUCAAUCUAACUAAUUGUUGCCUGGAAAUCAAUGACAAUGGAAAGACAUUUAUGGAAAUAACUGCAAGAAUAAGAAAAUUAACCCACGUUCCAGUUCAAACGUAGAAAGGGUGGUCUCCAGAUUCUCUCUUUGGAGGCUGUUUUUCAUUUUUCGGAGGGUUCAAGACUUUAAUAAGAUUGAUUCUGGCCAUACUAGGAAGUUGCCUAAUACUACCUUGUCUCUUACCUCUCCUUGUUAGAAACAUUCAGUCAACUAUAGAGGCAAUAGUAGCUAGGCAAACUACCAGUCAGCUAAUGGCUCUAUGUAAAUGUCAACCUUUGUCUAAAGAAGAAAACUUGUCUCUUCAUGCAAAAUUAAAUAAUAGUGAUGCCUCCUAUUAAAUUUCUUUUAUAAAAGGCAUCAAAGGGGGGAAACUGAGGCAGAAAUUUAAAAAUAAAUAUGCAUUCAUUCACUCCAAGAAAAGUUAACAGGCAAGGCAAGGGUUAAAAAGAAAAGAACAAGUUUUCCUCGGCCUAGCAAGCUCACUUCAAGGACAGUUAUAAGAUAAUGUUGUUUGAGAAGCCAAGUCCAAAGGAAUGGGUUCCAGACAUCCCUCCCCUCUAGAACAAGGUUGAAGG